UGGCGUACGGGUGAGUAACACGUGGGUGAUCUACCUCUUAGUGGGGGAUAUCUCUGGGAAACCGGAGUUAAUACCGCAUAAGUUCGAGAGAAGAAAGCAGCAAUGCGCUGAGAGAGGAGCCCGCGGCCGAUUAGCUAGUUGGUGGGGUAAAGGCUCACCAAGGCAGAGAUCGGUAGCCGGCCUGAGAGGGCACACGGCCACACUGGCACUGAAACACGGGCCAG
rnacentral:rRNA from 1 species